UCACUCCAGUUACCCCUUCAGAAUCAGAUUCCCUGAAAACAGAGGUUCCACAUCCUCCGGGUGAAGCAAGUUCAAAGUCAGAUGUGGAUGUUCCUACAACUGCUCCACAGCCUAACCCUUCUACAUUUGGUUUGAAGCUUGAACCUUCAGCAUCAUCUGUCCUUACUACAGGACUAUCAACUGGAUUUGCACCAGUAAACCAGCCCAGCUUGAACCACUCUGGAAGUACUGCAUCUAAGGUGGCUCUGAAUUCUCAACCUCAACAGCCAUCUUCUCAUAAUGUUCCUUUUGGAGCACCAAUCCUGACUUCUGAUAGCCUUAGUGGAAAGAAUGAAAGUUUGGAUGUUGCAGUUACAGAAGAGGUUGAAAUGGAGGAGGAGGCUCCUGAGGCUAGCUGCACGAAUGAACUUAAUUUGGGAAAUCUUGGAGGUUUUGGGAUUGGUUCAACGCCUAUCCCAACUGCUCCUAGAGCGAAUCCAUUUGGCAGUCCAUUUGGUAGCACAGGAUCAAAUGUAGCAAGCUCGUCGUUGACCAUGACUGUACCUAGUGGAGAGCUCUUUCGACCUGCCUCUUUCAACUUUCAAUCUCCUCAUCCAUCCCAAAAGCCUCCACCAACAAAUAUGGGUGCUUUCUCUGGUGGCUUUGGCACAGGAACUGUUGCUCAAGCUCCUGCUCAAAGUCAGUUUGGCCAGCCAGCACAUAUUGGAUCAGGACAGCAAGCACUGGGAUCAGUUCUUGGGACUUUUGGGCAGUCUAGACAGUUUGGAACUGGUUUACCUGGAAGUGGUUUCGCUUCUACCAGUGGUUUUGGUGGUGGCCUUGCUACUAGUAGUUCAGCAGGUGGCUUUGCAAGUGCUGCAACUGCUGGCGGGUUUGCUGGUGUUGCUUCUACUGGUGGUGGAUUUGCUGCUUUGGCCUCAUCUGGUGCAGGAUUUGGUGGUGUGGGUGCUGGGGGUGGGUUUGGUAGUGUAGCUUCUGGUGGCGGGUUUGGUGGAGUGGCAUCUGGUGGCAGUGGCAUUGCUGGUGUGGCUUCAGGUGGAGGUGGGUUUGUGGCAGCAGCCUCGAGUGCUGGUGGUUUCGCAUCAGCGCCUCCAUCUGGUAGUGGAUUCGGUGCAUCAGGUAGCAUUAUUAUCUAAUACUCCAUUUUCCUCAUCUUUUGUGUAAUGCAUGCGAAGUCUUUGCUGACUUGCUGUGAAAAUUUGCACAGGUAGUGGAUUUGGGGCUUUUGGCAGCCAACAAGGCACUGGAGGAUUCUCAGGUUUUCCUGGUAAUGCAGGAGGCAGCCAACAAGGAAUUGGUGGUUUCUCUGCUUUCAGUGGUAAUCCAGCAGGAACUGGAAAACCUGCGGAAUUAUUUACACAGAUGAGAAAAUAGAGUUCAGAGCUUUUGGACUAGGAUUAGAAAUUUUGUUCGCAAAUGAAAAAUGUAUUUGGUAAAAUAGAUUGUAAAUUGAGAUUCACCCGAUGUGAGAUCACAUUCUGUCUGCAAUCUGAGUUCUGCUCUUUCUUAUUGUUGGACCUUUUUACCAAAUAUCAUGCCAAUGGGGGUGUCAAUUUAUGAAUGAAUGCAACAUAUUGUGUGUGGAUAGAUCACAGAAGUUGGAGAUAAAAUGGGAUUGAAGAAAUUCUCCAGGAUAUACUUUUGCUGUUAAACAUGCAGGACAAAACAGAUCAUCGGUUGGAUUUAUGGGGGGGCGGGGGGGUUUGUAUGCUGGAAUACUUGAAUGAUUGGUUCCCCGCUUGAAUCCGUCACUCUCUAAUGGUUCUACAUAAUUAACAAACCAAACACUUUAAGCUAUGGCAAUGCAAAGGCAACAUUGGAAAAGCCAACACACGUUCUCUUGGCUACAAUAAUCACGAUAUUGUAACAAAAUUUGAGAAGAGCAGAAGGAAAGGGGAAAAUAAACAAAAUCCAGGAGUCUUUCAGCCUCGGUAUCAUUAUCAAACAGGAAUGCCUAGUUCAGAAAUCUUCGUGAUCCGCUUGUCAAGUUUGCUCCAUGGCCGCUUCAAUAGGGAGCCACAGAAGCAACCUAACCAAUAAAAUAUAGAGAUCAGAGAACCUUCAACACAGUUAUUAAUCAGGAGAACAAACGAAUACCAUCAGAAGAUAGAAUAUCAGAAGUGAAUGUUGAUAGUUGAUGGAUAAGAAGCAACUCAUGCAGGUCACAGGUGCCGCAUGCUUGAACCAGAAGCAUAAAGUUUUUGCUGCUCUCAAUUUAAGUGUAGAUAAUGUCUGACAGCCAAGCCAGGUUACCGUAGGAGAUUCUCAUAUCCUCCACCACGACAAUUCAGUGGACAAAUCUCAUUCCUGGGCUUUCCAUCACCGAACACAAACUACAGCUUCUGUUACAAAUUUAUAGGUAGACAGUAGGAUUUACCCUCUUUCUCAUAAUAUAUAUAUAUAUAUAUAUAUAUAUAUAUAUAUCAAAUUAACUCACUUAUUAUUACAAUUUACCAUUCCAUUUCAAUUGAAUUUGUGCAUGUAGAUUUUCAUAUCUGUCUGUAAUAUAAUCCAUAGAAGGCAAUCCUGCAUAUGAAGACUGCUCUUUGUCCAGAGCAAGCAUUUCUAUCCAGUACUCUACCAGACACAAGAUUUCGUGUCAUUAAGUAACAAGCUAACAAUUGUGAGUGCAUAAACUUAGUGAUCAAGUUAGGAACAAAAAGCAACAAUGACGAUGUCUUUAUAUAAAAUUAGAAAGAAGCCGCAAGUGAUAGCCCCACCAUCUGCUUUUUAAAAGGCUCUUUCCUUGCCUGUUUCACCUUUUUAAAAUUGUUUUUCAAUAGUUUUAAUAUAAAAAAUAAAUCUAAAAAAAUAUUAUUUUAUUAUAAUCUCGAUCAAUUAAAAACCUCCAUUCAUCACAUUGCCUGUGAUGGAUGGUGAAAAGAGGAGCAGGGACAUGUUGUCAUGCCAAAGACCCUCUUGAUUUAUUUUUUGGGUCUUAAUUUAAAAGUAAUAAUUUUUUAUUAGGUGUUCCCCCUUAUAAGUCUAUUUCUGUCGUGCCUAAAUUUAUAAAAUAGAUAAGAGCAAAUGAGUCAUCAAUUAAAUAUGAGUUCAAAGACUCAAUAUUCUAAAUGUCAAAGUUUUAGUCAUAACUUCAUUAAUUAUUCAUCUAAACUUUAGUCAUCUAAGAACAUAAAGAUAUAAGUAAAAUAAAAAAUUAUUGUGUUCAAGUGUAUGAGCUCAAUCCUAAUAAUUUUAAUGAUAUAGAUGAAAAAACCAUGUAAGAAGAUGAACUUAACAAUAUAAAUCCAAAUGAGUACAAAAAUAAAGUUAAUAAAAAAUAUAAUAAUUUUGUUUUAAUGGUAGAGAAAGUAGUCUUAAGAAUUUUUUAGUGGAAUUACCCGAAGAGAUAAAUAUAUUCUUAGAAGAGUCUUACAAUAUUAGUUCUUUUAAAAUACCUGAUUCCUCACCCAUCAUGUUUGACAUCUAGCACACCAAAGAUUUAGAGCAACAUGUUCCUUACCCCUUUAUGUUUUAUGUCCAACACGUCAAAGGUUUAGAGCAACAUCCUACUCACCCUUUCAUGCUUGAUAUCCAACAUGUUAUAAGUUUAGACCAACAUGUUGAGCUCCUUGAUCCCUUACCCCUGACAUGUGAUGAGAAAGAUCAUAAUAAUUAUAAUUUACUAGAUUUUGCAUGUAGGGUUCAUAAUUUGCAUAUCGAGGUUAUAAAACAUAUUUAAACAAGUAAUGAACAAUAUAAAUUUCAAUCUAAUUUACAUAAGUUUCAUGAUGCACUUAAUGUUGAAGAUUAUUUCAUGAUACAGAUUAGACCUGAACGGUAUUCUUAUGGAACCCUUUAUAAAUUGCAAGUGAGUAGCGAUACAUCAUUCAAAGUGUUGCAAAUGAUUGAAUUAAAUAGUUAUGUCAUUAAAAUGACAUUAAACUUUGAUAUUAACUCUAUUGUUCACAUGAAAAACCUUGUUAUAUAUAAAACACAAUAGCCUAUCAUUAAUUAUUCUUUUGAAAACCUUGCCCUAUUAUCCUUAUUUUAGCACAAAAUAAACAAAUUAAUGCUGUAACAGUCUCAAAUCAUAAUGUCAUGAAAUCUCCAAACAUUUAUUCACCAAUGUCAAGUAUUGGAUAAUAUGUCUAAAAUUAUGGGAUUUUUUUUUUUUUUUGAAAAUUUCGGCAGAGUUUCCUCUGUUUUUGUUGGUACCAAGUUAUCGACAACACUUCUAAUAUAUAUCAUUGUGACUUCCAUCUUGAUCCAAUCAUCCUGGAUCACAUUUCAAUCAUCAAACAAUAACGCAAUACUUACUUAUCAAUUAAUAAUCAACAUAAAUGUACUCCCAAAGCAACCCAAAGGAUAAACAAAUUCAUCACAAACAUAAUAAAUGCUAACUAACUACAUAAAUACAACAUUAAGAUUAAGAGUCAUAUUAUGUUUAUAAUAAAUCUUAUCUUAUCAUUUUGAAAAUGAUUUGCUCAUACUAAUAACUAUACAUAUAUAUAUAUUACAUCCACUACCUAUUACACAUUUUACUUGAUUUUUGCAUCACAAAAGGAUUUACAUUGAAAGUAAAGACAUGAUAUUACAUUCCAAAAUGGUAAUUCAUAAACAGGAGAAUUCCUACAUCUAACGAUCUGCAUCACCUCGUGGCAUACCUGUUUCAACAACAACCAUAUUAAUUAACUUUCUCAUUAUAUUAAUCUAAUAUUAAAUAAUUACUCUUAACCUUUGAAAUUUAGUACUUCUACUUCAAUCUAACUUACUCCUAUAAUUUACAUAAUCUUUUUAGGAUUAAAAAUCCACUAAUUCCUCUUAAUUACCAAAUACAUCUAACACUUCCAUAUAGAUACCCAAAAUUCAUUUUUUUCCUUCCUCGGUUACCAAUAGACCCAGUAAUUCCAUUCGAAUUACCUAUCAUCCAGCUAACCUCUUUUGUUAGCCAAUCAAUCCGGUAAUUCCAUAUGAAUUACUCCUUAUCCAGUUAACCUCUUUGUUAACCAAUAAACCCGGUAAUUCUCUUUAUUACCCAAAAAUCCGACUAACCCAUUUCGGUUAGCAAAAUCAAUCCGGUAAUUCCAUAUGAAUCACCCAGUAUCCGGCUAAUCUCUUUUGUUAGCCAAUCAAUCCGGUAAUUCCAUUCGAAUUACCUAGCAUCCGACUAAUCUCUUGUAUUAGUCAAACAAUCCGGUAAUUCCAUACGAAUUACCCCAUAUCCGGUUAACCUCUUUGUUAACCAAUAAAACCGGUAAUUUCACAUAAUCAUAACUCAAAUUAUUCAUUUGCUCCAUUCAUUUAAUAUCAAUUAAAUAAGCAACAUAGAUAAUUAGGAAAACUAAAAAUUACAAAAUGAGGUGACGAAUUCACCUACCUUCUGUUCGGGAUGACCCAGCUCCUCCUGUCUGAUAACCAGCUCCAGACACAGCUCCUGAAUCAAUCAAGUGUCAUUAUAUCAUUAGUCCAUCAAUAUUUUUUUCUUAUGUGCCGAAACAUAAAGCACAUAAUAUUUUUAUUAGUAAUUUGUUCUAAUAAAAAUUCAUUCUCAAAUAUAACAUCAUUAUUUUACAUACAACCUCAUAUUUAACUCAAGUUACUUCUUUGUUUUCUCUAUGUUCAUAAUUCCUCCAUCGAAUAAUUCUUCUAUUCUUUAUACCCUCACAUCAUAUUAUUUAUUUUAUUUAAAUACUAUAUUCAAACACAAUCUAGGCAUCUUGUCUUCAUAUUUUCUUUUAACUAGUUUAUUUCUCUUUUAAUUUGAAUUUACAUAUUAUUAUUAUUAUUAUUUUCUCAACUUAAAUGCUAUCUCUUCAUUUAGUCUUUCUUACAUUUUCAUUUAUCAUGAUUAAACAUGGUUUUUUUCUAAACAUUAACAUCAAAACUCAUUCUCCCAUUUUUAUUUUUUUUCCUUCAUUGGCCGAAUGUGAUGUUUCUUUUUCCUCCCCCAAAUCUUUCUUCAUUUACUUGUUAUUUCAACUUGUUUUCAUUCUAUUCCUCUUCAAUUUCAUCAUUUUCCCUUCCCCUCCUAAUUCCCCCAAAUUCACAUAAGAACCCUAAGUUCAAUAAUCUAGGAUUUAAGGGAAACUAAGGUAAAGUUCCAUGAAAUUACUUCCUAAUUUAAUCAAAUAAGCUUAGGAAAAACAUCUAAAUCAACAUUAAAUCCAAACUUCUCAUGCUUACCUAUUGCUUUUCUUCCAAUUUCUCUUCUCUUCCAAGGUUAGCUGAAUUCCCCUUCUCAAAUCCUCCUUCCUUCACUUGAUUUAGUGUUUUAUAGGUUUAACUUGCAAGUUUAUAAAGCUAUUCUCUCAAUUUCCUUAUUGUUUUUCCUUACUUUUCUCUCUAUCUCUCACGUUAUGCUCUGUUUUUCUUUUCAUCUUUUUGUUUCUGCCCAUUCGGCAGUUAAUAAAAGAGAAGGAGGGCUUAUAUAUUUUCUUUUCAAUGGCAAAUAACUAUUCUACCCUAAUGAGUAUUUUUACCUCUAUUUGACGGUCCUUAUUUUUUUGCUAGCACUACCGAGCUCCAUUCAUCUUAAAAUUUUAACCAGGUUUUAUUCACUAUAUUUUAAGGUUCCUCAUAAAAUUUCGGCUCAAUCCGAUGGUCGGAUUAAAAAUCACGUCCAAUAACGUAAAACUAGUCGAAUUGUGAUUUUUCGUCAAAUUUCCGAAUUUCUCUACAAAUUCUGAAAUUUUAACCCAAGCUAAGGCAUGAUAUUAUAACACUCCACGCAAAUUUUCAGAAUUUUCUGAGCACCCAAUCAAGAAUUACGAAUUAUUUUGUUUUACCUAAAACUAGUCAAUUUAUGAUGUUUUCGUCAAAUUUCCGAAUUUCUCUAAAAAUUCUGAAAUUUUAACCCAAUAUAAGGCAUGAUAUUAGAACGCUCCACGCAAAUUUUCAGAAUUUUCGGAUCACCCAAUCAAGAGUUAUGAAUUAUUUUGUUUUACCUAAAACUAGUCAAUUUAUGAUUUUUCACCUGGAGGUUUUACAAAUGCUGCUUUGGAUGCAUAAAUUAUUUUUACCAAGGAUGAUGAACUUCAACAAAUCCCAAUACAUAAGUUAGACAGCCAGAUUCAGACUAUACUUGAAUUAUUAGAAAGACAUUAUAAUAACUUGAUCAUGAUCUUCAGGAGAUUAUUGAAGCCGCCUUGAGCUUUACUCAAUAGGGUAGGGUUUCUUCAAUCCCGGGAGAAUUGGUGGGGGCAUCAUACUCUAGACAUUGUUUACGCACUUAUAUAAUUAUAGAUGAUGGAGGGUAGCCCAAACCAUUAAGAGAUUAAUCUGUAGCUUAUAUUUUGGUUUAAUUUAUUUGAACUUUUAGUUGAGGUUAAUUAUGAUUUAUUUAUUGGGUAUUUUAUUUAGUGAUCUAUAAGUCUAAUUGCUUGCUCUAGUUAAGAUUUUAGUAUUUAUAUCAUAUAUUUUUUAAAAUGUUAGAUAAUUGUUGAUGAAUUAAAUAAAAAUUGAAAAGUUACAUACUUUUUCAACCCCAUUCUUUUCUCCUCUAACUUUUUUCUUUUCUUUCUUUGGCUUCUUGUGAUGUUUUGAAUUAAAAGAGAUAGGAAAAGACAACAAAACCCUUGGAGGCUUAAAGAGUGGGUAUAAAUGAAUGAGGGGUAGUGUGGUAGUUGAAUAAACAUAAUAAGUAUAAAUAGAAAAAAAAGAGAAAAAAAAAAGAGAGAUCUGAAAUUAAGAGUGAAAAAUUGACGCGAGAAGAAAAGAAAAGGGAAAGAAGAAAAGGAAAAUAGAAGAGAAUUGGAGAAAAUAAGUUUAAAGGUAAGAUUAUGUAUAAAUAUAUGUUCUUUUAAGCUUUAAAUUUAUGUUUUGGUUGAAUGUUAGGGUUUUGAAGAUUGUGUUUUGGGUUUAUUGAUGAAGUAAUUUAAAUGUUAAAAGGUUGAUUGUUGUGGGUAAUGGAUUAUUUAGUUGAUUAUGGAAGAUUGUAGGUAAAUAUGAUGAUUUUGAGUUAUGAUUUGUGUAAAUGGUGAAUUUUGAGUUAUAAAUGUGGAAAAAACAGUAGGCUUUCUGUUGAAGAUGACACCAAUUUCGGUUUGGUCCCUCAAUUUGUGAAAAUUACAGUUUAGUCCCCAAACUUUGGAAAAAUUGCAGAUUGGUCCCUAUAGCAUAUUCCGAGAUUCUGGACAGAAUAAAAGAUGAAUUAUGGGCAGAAUUCCAGUAUUGUUAUGAAUUUGUAACACUUUCAAUUUGGUCCUACCAUUUGAAAAAAAAUACAAUUUGAACCUAAAAAUUUGGAAACAUUCCAGAAUGGUCCCUGGAGCAUAAUUAGAGAUUAUGGACAGAAAUGAAGAUGAAUUAUGGACAUAAUUCCACUAUAGUCAUGAAUUUAUGAUAUUUUUAGUUUGGUCCUCCAAUUUGACAAAGUUACAAUUUGACCCUUAAAAAUAUGAUAAAUUCCAUAUUGGUCCCUAGCUGUAAUAUUAGCUUUUGCAGAUUGAUUUGAUGAAUAAUUGAGGUUUAUUUAGUGAAUUAUUAUCAAGUUUUAUUAUUUGUUUUAUUAUGGAUUAGAUUUCGAAAAACCAUUUAAUUUAUGGAUCAUGUUUCUUCAAAAUAUAUAUGUUGAUUAUUAUCGUUGUUAUAAUAAAGUAUGAUCAAUUGUUGAAUCUGAAUUCUUGAUAUGAACCAAUAUAUAUUUUGAAUUGACUUCUGAAUUGAUAGCUCCUCAUUUGAUUGAUGUCAUGAGUUGAGCCUUGAGAUAUGAAUAUGUCUGUUUGAUUAUGAUUAUGAAUAUAUGGUAUGCCAGUUAGAAUAUCCAUGCUAAUAGGGUAAUGUUAGUCUUUAUGCACAUCGUAUAUGAACCCUAGUUGGUCAGGGGAGUCACCAACCUGUGUAGACUGAUCAUCCCACAGUACGGAGCCUCAUGCUCAUUGCAUUUUGAUUUUCUGAUGAGCUUUACCUUAUGAUAUUUUUGUUGUUGUAUUACCUCGUGUAUGUGUGUGUGUAUUGAACAUUAUCUACUUACUGAGUUGUUGAACUCACCCUCUCAUUAUUUAUUUUUUGAGGUUUAUAGCCUGUUAGCAGGUCAUUUUUGUUGAACCUUCCGAACAUGCUUUUUGGCUGUAAUUUGUACAUUUUCUUCAUGUCUAGUUAGUGCUCCAUAACUAUGAAUUUGUAUUAACUCUUGUAUUAAGACAAUCAAAUUAUAUUAUGAAAUUAAUUUUGUUAUUAUUGCUGCGUUGGACUCUGAUUGAGUUAUUUGAAGGAUAAGUUUGUAUAUAAAUUUGGGUUCGCAUAGGUAUGAAACCUUGAAAGGGAACCUUGCCUAUGUGCCGGUCAUAGAUCCGAGAAUCGGGUCGUGACACUUCUUCUUCUUCUUCACCUUUUCUUUUCUCUCGUAUUAGUUUAUUACUUUAUCUUCAAAUCUCUUUUGUUUGUAUCGGUAUGACUUGCUUUUUCUUUUUCAAAAAGCUUUUUAUUUAGUUUUGUUUUAAUAACUUAAACGCUCCAUUGUUAAAUUAUUUUAUUUAAAAUUUGAAUUUCAUAUUAUAAUAAGUAUUAUUUGAUUUUUUUGUUGAUUUUAAAGAAUAUUUUAAAAGUUUACGAAACACUAUGAUUUUUGUAUAAUUUAUUUUGUGAUUGAUAUAUUAUGAAACUUAACACAUAUAAAAACACUGCUCUUGCUGGUAAGAAACCUCAAGGCCAAGGUAAGGUUUAGGCGCUGUUGUGUGCUGUCUUUUUGUUGCCAGAAAGUAAAAGCCUGACCUUUCUCUCUCUCUUCCUUUACCUUUUCACCUUUUCUCAUUUCAAUGAAUGUUGUACAUAUCUUGUUUAUACGUAUGUAUGCAUGCAUGUAUCUCUUGUCAGACUAGUCAUGAUACAUCCAGCUGCACCCCUCCACACCCUGCAUUAUAAACACACACACACACACAACAAAAAAGGAAGAAGAAGAAGAAGAAGAAGAAGAAGAAGAAAAGAGUGUAGUUUAUAUUUCAUUUUAAAAAAAAAAAAUUUAAGAGAGGGAGAGGAAGAUUAUUAGUAUAUGAUAGAUAGAUAGAGAUAUUGUGGUAUUGUAUUGGCAGUCCUCGUUUCUUCAAAGAUCGAUUUCACGCCUGGCUUCGCGAUGACUACUCUCUCCAAUAUUAAUUUAGCCGUCUUUCUCAUUUACCUUCAGGUAAUCUUUUAAUUAUAUAUAUAUAUAUAUAUAUAUAUAUCAAAUUAACUCAAUUAUUAUUACAAUUUACUAUUUCAUUUCAAUUGAAUAUGUGCAUGUAGAUUGGUUGCUCUUUGAUCGGAUCCCUUGGAGCUUUGUACAAUGGCGUCUUGCUCAUUAAUUUGGCUAUCUCUUUGUUCGCCCUCGUUCGCCAUUGAGAGCAACAGUCAGCGCCUUUUCCGUACCUAUGCUUUCCUCCUCUUCUCCUCUCCUCUCCUCGACGUUGCAUGGUUCAUCCUCUUCUCUCACCCCAUCUGGUACCUUCUCUUUCUUCUUUUUUCCUUUAACUAUUCAUUAUAAUAUCAUGCUGCUGCUGCAAACCGAAGUUUCACGCUUUCAUACAAUAAUCAUUCACAUCAGAAAAUAAAUCAUGAUGCAAAGUCUAAAGUUUCAUUCUUCAACAUUAUAAUAUAUAUCUAAAAGAUUCUACUCCACUCGAGGAGAGGCAUGGCGGUUAUUUUUCAAUUUACUCUUUUUCUGAAUUUUUUUUUUUUUAAAUACUGUUAUCGAGUUAUAUAUAGAAGAUGGGCGACAGAUUUCUUCCUUUUAUGCGGCAAUGCUCACGGUUCUCCUACUGUAUUCUGUGUAUCAAUUGAAAGUAUUGUCUGUUUGUGUCUUGUUGCAGGAACAUUUCCUCUGACAAGUAUGGACUGUUCUUCGUCUUUUCAGUGAAACUCACUCUGGCAAUGCAAAUCGUUGGUUUUACAGUGAGGUUGUCAUCCUCAUUGUUAUGGAUUCAAAUCUACAGAUUGGGGGUUCCUUAUAUAGAUAGUACAGCUACUCGAGAAGCGGAUUUCGAUUUAAGAAGUAAUUUUCUCAAUCCAACAACUCCUGCUACUGUAGGUAGACAAUGCUCAGAUUCUGAUGUUGUUUUAGGUGGUUCCAUUUACGAUCCAGAUUAUUACUCGUUUCUUUUCGAAGAUGGACAAGACAGCAGAUGUCUUCGUCAGGUAGGCUAUACCUUACUUGUAUGCCAUGCUUUACUUAUUUUAACUAUGACUUGGUGCCUUCGAUAUCUUCGCAUGGAACUUAGUUGUCCUGAGUUGAGUCCCCUAAUGAUACCCAAUUCACUGAAGCUAGAUUGCUUUUUCGGAUGGCCAAAUUUUUGCUUAAAGUAUAGAGACUUAAUACAAAUCCUAAAGAUAAAAAUUAAUGGGAAGAGAUUCAGUGGUCGAAACUUCUUAUAGCCAUGUUCAGAAUCAUUUAAGGUUGCUCUACUAAGGUCGACCACCGGAGAUUUAGUUUGGUUUCAGAGUGCAUUAGAAUUUUACUAAAAUAUAUAUUCUGGUAAAUUAGCAGAAGCAUAUUUAACUCUAAAGAAAACCGCAAAGCUUUAACUUGAAGAGAACUACAAAUUCCUGUUACUGUCUUCUUAGAACUUCAAGUUACGCUUUUAUGUAAAUAUCUUAAAAGUAUUUCAUGUUAUCCACUGUGCUGAUAGAUCUUUUACAAGCUCCAACAUGCAUGUUAUUUCUUAUGACCCUGCUGCAGAGCUGGGCUAGUUUUGAGCAUACGAAAACAGCUGUAAAAGGUGUGCUUACGCAAGAAAAUCAGAAGAAAAAUGUGAAUAAAUCAUCCUUGUUGAAGGAUAGGCAACAUUUUAGUCCUAGCUUGGGGGACAGAUCCGCAGUUCACCAAGAAGACCAGACAUCCCGAUCUUUCUUGCACCCAUCGGAAAGCAGAGGUGAGCUAUUACAAAGUUUACAUGAAACAGAAAGUGUUCACUUAUCAUCUAAAAGCAUACGAAGAAAAUGCAAUUGAUGAUUGCUAUUUUCAUGUUUAAGCAGGCCUUCAUUACGGAUGCCCUAAACAAAAAUUUGAGAAAAACACAUUAACUUCAGAGGUUUCUAAGGAGCUGCCUUCUAGCAAUCCAACUCCUUCACGUUUGACAUCAGAAUCCCUUGAAACGGAGAUUCGGCCUCGUAUGGGAAAACCACUUGCAUCUAAUGUUAACCCCACUCCUACACCUUCAGUUUCAGAAUCACUUAAAACAGAGCCCCAACCUCAUGCGGGAAAAAUUCCACCUUCUGACACUCCAGUUACCCCUUCAGAGUCAGAUUCCCCGAAAACAGAGGUUCCCCAUCCCCCGGGUGAAGCAAGUUCAAAUUCAGAUGUGGAUGUUCCUACAACUGCUCCACAGCCUAAUCCUUCUACAUUUGGUUUGAAGCUUGAACCAUCAGCAUCAUCUGUCCUUACAACAGGACUAUCAACUGGAUUUGCACCAGUAAACCAGCCCAGCUUGAACCACUCUGGAAGUACUGCAUCUAAGGUGGCUCUGAAUUCUCAACCUCAACAGCCAUCUUCUCAUAAUGUUCCUUUUG
rnacentral:lncRNA from 1 species